GAGUUUGAUCCUGGCUCAGGAUGAACGCUAGCGGCAGGCCUAAUACAUGCAAGUCGAACGGAUGUAGCAAUACAUUAGUGGCGCACGGGUGCGUAACGCGUAACCAGCCUACCCAGAACUGGGGGAUAGCCCGCCGAAAGGCGGAUUAAUACCGCAUAAGCUUUUUCUUCGGCAUCGGGGGAUUAGUAAAGAUUUAUUGGUUUUGGAUGGGGUUGCGUGCCAUUAGCUAGUUGGCGGGGUAGAGGCCCACCAAGGCGACGAUGGCUAGGGGAGCUGAGAGGCUGGUCCCCCACACGGGCACUGAGAUACGGGCCCGACUCCUACGGGAGGCAGCAGUAGGGAAUAUUGGGCAAUGGAGGAGACUCUGACCCAGCCAUGCCGCGUGCAGGAUGAAGGCUUUCUGAGUCGUAAACUGCUUUUGCCAGGGAAGAACCACCGGUUUGCGAACCGGCCUGACGGUACCUGGUGAAUAAGCACCGGCUAACUCCGUGCCAGCAGCCGCGGUAAUACGGAGGGUGCGAGCGUUGUCCGGAUUUAUUGGGUUUAAAGGGUGCGUAGGCGGCCCGUUAAGUCUGGGGUGAAAGCCCACUGCUCAACAGUGGAACGGCCCUGGAUACUGGCGGGCUUGAAUCCAGUCGAGGGUGGCGGAAUGGAGGCUGUAGCGGUGAAAUGCAUAGAUAGCCUCCAGAACACCGAUUGCGAAGGCAGCUGCCUAGACUGGUAUUGACGCUCAGGCACGAAAGCGUGGGGAGCGAACAGGAUUAGAUACCCUGGUAGUCCACGCCGUAAACGAUGGAUACUCGCUGGUGGCGAUAGGCAGUCACUGGCUU
rnacentral:rRNA from 1 species